GACGAACGCUGGCGGCGUGCUUAACACAUGCAAGUCGAACGGAAAGGCCCUGCUUUUGUUGGGUGCUCGAGUGGCGAACGGGUGAGUAACACGUGAGUCUCCUGCCCUUGACUGUGGGAUAACUUCAGGAAUCUGGUGCUACUACCGGCUUGGAGCUCCUGCUGCAUGGGGGGGGUUGGAACGUUUCGGCGGAUGGGGAUGGACUGGCGGCUUAUCAGCUUGUUGGUGGGGUAGCGGCUUACCCAGGCAGUGACGGGUAGCCGGCCUGAGUGGGUGACCAGCGACAUGGGGACUGAGAUACGGCCCAGACGCGUACGGGAGGCAGCAGGGGGGAAUAUUGCACAAUGAGCGGAAGCCUGAUGCAGAAACGCCGCGUGUGGGAUGACGGCCUGCGGGGUGUAAAACGCUUGCGGCUGUGACGAAGGGUGAGUGACGGUAAUGGGUAAAGAAGCACCGGCUAACUACGUG
rnacentral:rRNA from 1 species